rnacentral:rRNA from 1 species
AUAGCAUAUAAGUAAGCGGAGGAAAAGGAACUAAAUAGGAUUCCCUUAGUAAUGGCGAACGAACAGGGAUGAGCUCGGCUUGGAAACUGGGGCCUUGGCCUUGGAUUGUAGCCUCUAGACAUAGCACCAACGGAGGCGCAGGUGUAAGCCUCUUGGAAAAGAGCAUCAACGUGGGUGAGAAUCCUGUGUUUCAUCUGCAGUCCACCGUGCACGGUGCAUGUUCUCAGAGUCGCGUUCCUCGGAAUUGGAGCGUAAAGUGGGUGGUAAAUUUCAUCUAAAGCUAAAUAUAGGCUUGAGACCGAUAGCAAACAAGUACCAUGAGGGAAAGAUGAAAAGGACUUUGAAAAGAGAGUUAAAAGUGCUUGAAAUUGCUGAAAGGGAAGCGAAUGGAACCAGUCCUCUGGCUGAGAUUGCUGCAUGCUUUUGUGUGUGGUGUUUCUCAGCUUGUGAGUCAACCUUUGUUCAUGCUUGAGGAUAGCCUCAGGUUCACGACGCUUCCCCGCGGGGUUGCUCCUGUGCUUGCAGGGACUCAGGCGUGUACUUUGUGUGACAAAAUGGUUCUCUUCGACCCGUCUUGAA